GUGUAUUUAUUUUUAAGCUCAGGUUAUUUGCAAGCUAUUGUUUAUUUUAGUUUUUAUGAUAUUCUUUGUUUAGUUUGCUCGUGUUUCAGCAACAAACUACAAAUAAGUAAAUCCCCGAGCCGAAGUAGAGCAUUAUGUAGCGUACUGUAUACUGUACUGAGAAUGAAUUUUUCAUUUGGCACCUCCUGGUACACGGGAUCGGCGAAACGUUACGUGACUUAAAACGCAGAUUAAAGUGUCUCUGUCUUGUUAGCGAAAUAGAGGAUAGAAGACCUAGUGUUAUUGCCAUCGCUAUUGCAAUAGUCGGAUAACUACCAGCGACAAAGUAAAGAAUACUAAAUAAAACAAGCUAAACUAAAACCGAACUCGCACGUUCACGAUGUGGAGCCCAGAGGGUUUUAAAUUCUCCCCGUUCCGGCAAAUGAGCUUGUAAAUCUCAUCCAAGUACCAGAGAGUUCAGUUUAACGCAAUGUAAGACUUUCAGUAAGAACUGGGAGAAAUUCGAGUUGAGGAGAAACAAAGCGCUAACUACAAAGGUACAAGUAACACCAGCCACCCUCGACCCUCGCGAUUCGAUCCAGAUCUGAAGGAGUUGGAACUCGGGGUGAGUAUCUACUCUACUACCGUUAACUCGACGAAUAAAUAGCAAAUUGACACGGGGGAAUUAGAGAAGAAACAAAAACCCAGACUUAACACCCUUCAAUAAAAAAAAAGUGACUCAAAAACAUUCAAGACCAAAAAAAGAUAUUUUCCUGACUGAGUUUUAAUUCAGAAGAUGACUCCAAAAAUUGAAGGAGGAGCAACGAGCUAUUACGGCGGAUAGGAGCUCACUUUAAAGAAUAAGAAGAGUGAUAAUUUUGUAAUUUUGUCUUCUAUCGGGUGA